rnacentral:rRNA from 1 species
UCCGUAGGCGGGCGAUUAAGUCAGAGGUGAAAUCCCACAGCUUAACUGUGGAACUGCCUUUGAUACUGGUCGUCUUGAGUUAUAGUGAAGUAGAUAGAAUAUGUAGUGUAGCGGUGAAAUGCAUAGAUAUUACAUAGAAUACCGAUUGCGAAGGCAGUCUACUAACUGUUAACUGACGCUAAGGGACGAAAGCGUGGGGAGCGAACAGGAUUAGAUACCCUGGUAGUCC